rnacentral:tRNA from 1 species
CGGCCUACUAGCUCAGUUGGGUCAGGGCAGGCGACUCAUAAUCGCCGAGGUCGCUUUAGUUCCAAGUCCAGCAAGGGCCACCCA